UACGAAGGGGGCUAGCGUUGCUCGGAAUCACUGGGCGUAAAGCGCACGUAGGCGGCUUUUUAAGUCAGAGGUGAAAUCCUGGAGCUCAACUCCAGAACUGCCUUUGAUACUGGAGAGCUUGAGUCCGGGAGAGGUGAGUGGAACUGCGAGUGUAGAGGUGAAAUUCGUAGAUAUUCGCAAGAACACCAGUGGCGAAGGCGGCUCACUGGCCCGGUACUGACGCUGAUGCACGAAAGCUAGGGGAGCAAACAGG
rnacentral:rRNA from 1 species